GCCAGGCAUGGUGGCUUGUGCUUGUAAUCCACAUGGCUUGGGAGGCUGAGGCAGGAGGAUCUUGAUUUCAAAGCCAGCCUCAGCAAAAGCAAGGUACUAAGCAAUUCAGUGAGACCCUGUCUCUA
rnacentral:sRNA from 1 species